CAAGCCACUGUAGUCAAACUC
rnacentral:sRNA from 1 species